GUACUCGCUUCGGCAGCACAUAUACUAAAACUGAAACAAUACAGAGAAGAUUAGCAUGGCCCCUGCGCAAGAAUGAUACACAAAUUCGUGAAGCAUUCCAUAUUUAA
ensembl:snRNA U6 U6 spliceosomal RNA